GUCCACGCUGUAAACGAUGAGUGCUAGUUGUUGGGAAGUUUACUUCUCAGUGACGAAGCUAACGCGAUAAGCACUCCGCCUGGGGAGUACGGCCGCAAGGUUAAAACUCAAAGGAAUUGACGGGGGCCCGCACAAGCGGUGGAGCAUGUGGUUUAAUUCGACGCAACGCGAAGAACCUUACCAACCCUUGACAUGUGUAUCAUCGGGACCAGAGACGGUCCUUUCAGUUCGGCUGGAUACAACACAGGUGCUGCAUGGCUGUCGU
rnacentral:rRNA from 1 species